rnacentral:lncRNA from 1 species
ACCCGGAGCUCCGCGGCCGCCCAGCGCCCGUCCCCGCGCCGCACUCCCCGGCACUCCCCGGCGCUCCCCGCGCCGCGCGCCCCGCACCGGCUGGAGGCCCCGGCCCCCCGGCGUUCCCUCUCCGCGCACCUCCCGGCCCGCGCUAGCAGGUAGCAGGCAAGAGUGUGGUUAUCGUUGGACCAGGAUUCAGGAUCUGACUGAGUAGCUGACUCUUAAUCCAGUUUGUGUUGAUCACCAGGAGGAUCUGGACCUCAGUAUUACCACAUCUAGAGCUAUAAUCACAUCCCUGUUAAGCCUUCCUGAGAUCACACCAAAUGUCCUUGAUGGGAAUUGUAAACAACCCUUACUUCUGGUUUCUAAUGAUAUUCCAGGAAAGGAGCCUAACUAGAGUCAGUGAUAUGCCAACUCCACCUUUGCCUUCCACCAUGUUUGGAAGCUCCCUGAGGCCUCACCAGGAGCAGAUGCUCGUCCCAUGCUUCCUAUAAGCCUGCAGAACUGUGAGCCAUAAUAAACUGUGAAUUAUAAAUUGCCUUUAUAGCAAUGCAAAUGGACCAGUACAGAUGGGAUGCUGGGAAGACAGUUGUUUCCACCUUCAGUAAA